rnacentral:rRNA from 1 species
CCUACGGGAGGCAGCAGUGAGGAAUAUUGGUCAAUGGGCGAGAGCCUGAACCAGCCAAGUAGCGUGAAGGAUGACUGCCCUACGGGUUGUAAACUUCUUUUAUAAAGGAAUAAAGUGAGGCACGUGUGCCUUUUUGUAUGUACCUUAUGAAUAAGGAUCGGCUAACUCCGUGCCAGCAGCCGCGGUAAUACGGAGGAUCCGAGCGUUAUCCGGAUUUAUUGGGUUUAAAGGGAGCGUAGGUGGGUUGUUAAGUCAGUUGUGAAAGUUUGCGGCUCAACCGUAAAAUUGCAGUUGAUACUGGCAGCCUUGAGUACAGUAGAGGUAGGCGGAAUUCGUGGUGUAGCGGUGAAAUGCUUAGAUAUCACGAAGAACUCCGAUUGCGAAGGCAGCUUACUGGACUGCCACUGACACUGAGGCUCGAAAGUGUGGGUAUCAAACAGGAUUAGAUACCCGUGUAGUC